rnacentral:rRNA from 1 species
UACAGAGGUGGCAAGCGUUGUUCGGAAUUACUGGGCGUAAAGGGCGCGUAGGCGGUUCGUUAAGUCCUGUGUGAAAUCCCCCGGCUCAACUGGGGAACUGCACAGGAAACUAGCGGGCUUGAGUUCGGGAGAGGGAAGCGGAAUUCCGGGUGUAGCGGUGAAAUGCGUAGAUAUCUGGAGGAACACCGGUGGCGAAGGCGGCAUCCUGGACCGGUAUUGACGCUGAGGAGCGAAAGCCAGGGGAGCAAACGGG